rnacentral:rRNA from 1 species
GACAGAGGGUGCAAGCGUUGUCCGGAAUUAUUGGGCGUAAAGGGCGCGUAGGCGGCCUGGUAAGUAGGGGGUGAAAUCCUGCGGCUUAACCGCAGGGCUGCCUUCUAAACUGUCAGGCUCGAGCACGGUAGAGGCAGAUGGAAUUCCCGGUGUAGCGGUGGAAUGCGUAGAGAUCGGGAAGAACAUCAGUGGCGAAGGCGGUCUGCUGGGCCGUUGCUGACGCUGAGGCGCGACAGCGUGGGGAGCAAACAGG